rnacentral:rRNA from 1 species
UACGAAGGGGGCUAGCGUUGGUCGGAUUUACUGGGCGUAAAGCGCGUGUAGGCGGCUCGCUAAGUUGGGGGUGAAAUCCCGAGGCUCAACCUCGGAACUGCCUUCAAAACUGGCGACCUGGAGCAAGAUAGAGGCGAGUGGAAUUGCGAGUGUAGAGGUGAAAUUCGUAGAUAUUCGCAGGAACACCAGUGGCGAAGGCGACUCGCUGGAUCUUUGCUGACGCUGAGACGCGAAAGCGUGGGGAGCAAACAGG